AUGAACGCUGGCGGCGUGCCUCAUACAUGCCAGUCGAGCGAACGGACGAGAAGCUUGCUUCUCUGAUGUUAGCGGCGGACGGGUGAGUAACACGUGGAUAACCUACCUAUAAGACUGGGAUAACUUCGGGAAACCGGAGCUAAUACCGGAUGAUAUUUUGAACCGCAUGGUUCAAAAGUGAAAGACGGUCUUGCUGUCACUUAUAGAUGGAUCCGCGCUGCAUUAGCUAGUUGGUAAGGUAACGGCUUACCAAGGCAACGAUGCAUAGCCGACCUGAGAGGGUGAUCGGCCACACUGGAACUGAGACACGGUCCAGACUCCUACGGGAGGCAGCAGUAGGGAAUCUUCCGCAAUGGGCGAAAGCCUGACGGAGCAACGCCGCGUGAGUGAUGAAGGUCUUCGGAUCGUAAAACUCUGUUAUUAGGGAAGAACAUAUGUGUAAGUAACUGUGCACAUCUUGACGGUACCUAAUCAGAAAGCCACGGCUAACUACGUG
rnacentral:rRNA from 1 species